AUGUUGCUAGAUUUCUAAAAUUAAAUGAAAAAUAAAAAUUACCUCAUUUCUCCUUCCUCCCUCACUCCCAUCUGCAAGUUGCAACAUCCCUUCCCCACUCAUCUGUCGACCAAUUAAGCUAAUAACCAUGGCUAACAACCCAUUAAAUUGCUAUAUAUACUACAUGAAACAAUUAGCUCAAUUACUUAAUUUGAUUUCAACAUUAAACAUAUCAUUUUGCUAAAUUAACUCCCCUUCAAAAUAAAUUGAGUUUAAUUAAACAAAAUCAUCAAUGACCAAUGUCAUCAUCAUCUUGAAUUUUGGGGUUUCUGAAAUUAUCAAGAUGCUUCCUUAACGUUGCCUCAUCUCUCUCCUCUUUCUAGGCUUUGUUGCAAGUAUAUUUUUAAGAUUAUGCCUUAUUCUUAAUAAGCAAUAAGUUCCCUUUGUUCAUUCCCCCCUAUUGUUUAAUUUUUUUGCUUCAUUUCAGGUAUAAGGUACUUCUUUACUCUUGGUGCGCUUAUCUUCUAUAACUCUCUAAUUACACUGACUCAUAGGUGCUUGAGAGUGUUUGUACUAGGGUGUUGCGAGGCUGUGCAGUAAUUUGUAGGUGCAUACCGUCUGUCUUGACUCUUGAGUCUUUAGUAUUUUUAAUUUUCUCUUUUCUACGUCUCUCUUCUUUUCCUCUGUUUUGUUUUCCACUCUGCAGGGUGAGCCAGCAAGUUUGACGCAGUCAAAAUAGCAGAGUAAGGGCAUCCUGUAUAUUUUUACUAGAGGUUAACUGAACUAAUUAGGUAGCAUGGGCACUUGAACUCGAAGAUUCUCCACGCAACUCUAGAACGAGAAAUGCUCAACUUAAGUCUAUCAAGCAUUGCAAUUGAGUUUAUGUAAAGGUGGAAGUACAUAUUUUGGAACAACUUGUAGCAAUAUCUUUUGUAAGAAGUUAAUGUCGAUAGGAAGAAGCCAUUACUUGCUUGGCUUUUGCGAACUAAGUGUACAAUAAUAUUUGAUUUUUAUAUAUUUUAUAUUUUAUAGUACAAUCAUAG